rnacentral:rRNA from 1 species
CUGGAAUGGAGCGUCAUAGAGGGUGAGAAUCCCGUCUUUGACACGGACUGCCAGGGCUUUGUGAUGCGCUCUCAAAGAGUCGAGUUGUUUGGGAAUGCAGCUCAAAAUGGGUGGUAAAUUCCAUCUAAAGCUAAAUAUUGGCGAGAGACCGAUAGCGAACAAGUACCGUGAGGGAAAGAUGAAAAGAACUUUGGAAAGAGAGUUAAACAGUACGUGAAAUUGCUGAAAGGGAAACGCUUGAAGUCAGUCACGUUGGCCGGGGAUCAACCUUGCUUUUGCUGGGCGUACUUUCCGGUUAACGGGUCAGCAUCAAUUUUGACCGUUGGAUAAAGGCUUUGGGAAUGUGGCAUCUUCGGAUGUGUUAUAGCCCUUGGUCGUAUACAACGGUUGGGAUUGAGGAACUCAGCACGCCGCAAGGUCGGGUUUUUAACCACGUUCGUGCUUAGGAUGCUGGCAUAAUGGCUUUAAUCGACCCGUCUUGAAACACGGACCAAGGAGUCUAACAUGCCUGCGAGUGUUUGGGUGGAAAACCCGAGCGCGUAAUGAAAGUGAAAGUUGAGAUCCCUGUCGUGGGGAGCAUCGACGCCCGGACCAGACCUUUUGUGACGGAUCCGCGGUAGAGCAUGUAUGUUGGGACCCGAAAGAUGGUGAACUAUGCCUGAAUAGGGUGAAGCCAGAGGAAACUCUGGUGGAGGCUCGUAGCGAUUCUGACGUGCAAAUCGAUCGUCAAAUUUGGGUAUAGGGGCGAAAGACUAAUCGACC